rnacentral:rRNA from 1 species
UCGAGGAAAAGAAACCAACAGGGAUUGCCUCAGUAACGGCGAGUGAAGCGGCAAAAGCUCAAAUUUGAAAUCUAGCACCUUCGGUGUUCGAGUUGUAAUUUGAAGAUGGUAACCUUGGGUUUGGCUCUGUCUAUGUUCCUUGGAACAGGACGUCAUAGAGGGUGAGAAUCCCGUCUGAUGAGAUGCCCAUUCCUAUGUAAGGUGCUAUCGAAGAGUCGAGUUGUUUGGGAAUGCAGCUCUAAGUGGGUGGUAAAUUCCAUCUAAAGCUAAAUAUUGGCGAGAGACCGAUAGCGAACAAGUACAGUGAUGGAAAGAUGAAAAGAACUUUGAAAAGAGAGUGAAAAAGUACGUGAAAUUGUUGAAAGGGAAGGGCAUUAGAUCAGACUUGGUGUUUUACGAUUAUCUUCUCUUCUUGAGUUGUGCACUCGUAUUUCACUGGGCCAGCAUCGAUUCGGAUGGCAAGAUAAUGGCAGUUGAAUGUGGCUUCACUUCGGUGGAGUGUUAUAGCUUCUGCUGAUAUUGCCUGUCUGGAUCGAGGGCUGCGUCUUUGACUAGGAUGCUGCCCUAAA